rnacentral:rRNA from 1 species
GACGAACGCUGGCGGCGUGCUUAACACAUGCAAGUCGAACGGAAAGGCCUCUUUCGGGGGGUACUCGAGUGGCGAACGGGUGAGUAACACGUGAGUAACCUGCCCUUGACUUUGGGAUAACUUCAGGAAACUGGGGCUAAUACCGGAUAGGAGCUCCUGCUGCAUGGUGGGGGUUGGAAAGUUUCGGCGGUUGGGGAUGGACUCGCGGGUUAUCAGCUUGUUGGUGGGGUAGUGGCUUACCAAGGUUUUGACGGGUAGCCGGCCUGUGAGGGUGACCGGCCACAUUGGGACUGAGGUGCGGCCCAGACUCCUACGGGAGGCAGCAGUGGGGAAGAUUGCACAAUGGGUGGAAGCCUGGUGCAGCAACGCCGUGUGCGGGAUGACGGCCUUCGGGUUGUAAACCGCUUUCGCUCAUGACGAAGCUUUGUGUGACGGUAGUGGGUAAAGAAGCACCGGCUAACUACGUG